AGACGUAGGGGGCGAGCGUUGCUCGGAUUCACUGGGCGUAAAGCGCGCGUAGGCGGCUUUGUAAGUCGGAUGUGAAAGCCCCGGGCUCAACCUGGGAACUGCAUUUGAUACUGUCCAGCUAGAGUCUGGUAGAGGGAAGUGGAAUUCCGGGUGUAGCGGUGAAAUGCGUAGAUAUCCGGAGGAACACCAGUGGCGAAGGCGACUUCCUGGACCAAGACUGACGCUGAGGUACGAAAGCGUGGGGAGCAAACAGGAUUAGAUACCCGAGUAGUCC
rnacentral:rRNA from 1 species